GACGUAGGGCGCGAGCGUUGUCCGGAUUUAUUGGGCGUAAAGAGCUCGUAGGCGGCUUGUCGCGUCGACCGUGAAAACUUGGGGCUCAACCCCAAGCCUGCGGUCGAUACGGGCAGGCUAGAGUUCGGUAGGGGAGACUGGAAUUCCUGGUGUAGCGGUGAAAUGCGCAGAUAUCAGGAAGAACACCCGUGGCGAAGGCGGCUCUCUGGGACGGUACUGACGCUGAGACGCGAAAGCGUGGGGAGCGAACAGG
rnacentral:rRNA from 1 species